CUUGAAUCAAGAGUGACGGGCGAUUUGUGCAUAUCUGAUUUCUCCUUCUAUAUAGAUUUUAUUUAUUUAAAUUUAAUUUCAAGUCCUAUUUAUCCCCUUUUUCAGUCAGGGGUCCAUGAAUUUUCUUUUUGUAUCCCACUUAACUCUUAGCUAUCAACUCUGUCUUGAUUUGUUUUUUGUCUUUGAAGAGGUUUAAUUCUUUUUUAGAAUAAAACUUUAAAACAAUGAUAUAGAGAUUUAUAAGUUAAGUUUUAUUCAAUCGUGGGGUAUCUAUUACGGAGCAGGAUCCCCUGCAUAGUUCUAAUACCGCCAUUUUACAUAGGUUUGGCUUCUAUAGCUACUCGCAUAUCUUUGUCAUAAAA
rnacentral:rRNA from 1 species